GCCGGGAGCUCCCAGGUGGACACCAGGACUCUGACCUUCUGCCCUUUGCCCCUCUCCCAGGUCAGCCCAAGGCCACCCCCACGGUCACUGUGUUCCCGCCCUCCUCUGAGGAGCUCCAAGCCAACAAGGCCACAUUGGUGUGCCUCAUAAGUGACUUCUACCCGGGAGCCGUGACAGUGGACUGGAAGGCAGAUGGCAACACUGUCAGGGAUGGAGUGGAGACCACCCAACCCUCCAAACAGAGCAACAACAAGUACGCGGCCAGCAGCUACCUGAGCCUCACGCCGCAGCAGUGGAAGUCCCGCAGCAGCUACAGCUGCCACGUCACGCACGAGGGGAAAACCGUGGAGAAGACAGUGGCCCCUUCAGGAUGUUCUUAG